rnacentral:lncRNA from 1 species
UGUGAGGCCUCCACACCAAAUAGUGAAGUGUGAGAUGAAGUGAGUGAGUGAAGUGUGUGAGAGGAAGUGUUGUGAGGUGUAGUGAAGUAGUGAAGUGAGUGUGUGAGGCUUGUAGUCUUUUGGGUGUAUGUAUUAGUGAGUGUGUGAGUUAGAAUAAUUUAUAUGUGAGAGUUAUUUUAUCUGUAAUAAAGAGAGUUUUAUUAUAAGUUUGGUACGCCAAUAUUCUACAUGGAGUUGUUUUCAAAGG